rnacentral:lncRNA from 1 species
CAACAAUCAUCAACAUUCUUUUAGUUAAAGAAAAAUGUAAAGAAGAAUGCAAAAUAGACAGAUGUACAAGUUCAUCCAAUUACUGUUGACAUACUUAGUAUUUCUGGAACUACAACUUAACAAUUUGAUGGAACUUCUAUCCUACUCCAACUACAAUUCUUAGAGAUAAUUAUCAAUUUAGCAGAGCUUCUAAAGCAGCUGAUUGCAGUAAAACAAUUUCAAAUGCUCCUCUGUUUAGUUUUACAUCCAAUUUCAAGUUUUAUACUCCAACACAACAUGAAAAACUCAUGUUCUUGAGAAUUCAGUGAUGACUUCUCAUGCUAUUGAGCCCUAAUUUUUGCUUUGACGGAAUGUUGACCGAGGCCGAGGUAGAACCUCCUAUUUUAAGAGAGUUAACCAAAAUUUUAAUAGAAUCAAAAUCAUAAACUAGAAACAAACAAAAUUAGAGAGGAAGUAACUUACCAUUUCAAGCCGUAAUUAAGAUACCCACAUUCAAAUUUCCCGACUCAAAACACCAAUCGACAACCAUACCAGUUGAUGAUUUCAAGCUUAAUCAAGCAACCACCAUGAAAGAAAAAGAAAGCAGAUUUCUUUUGGUUUUUCUGACCACGUAUAUUGAGCAUUUAGAAUAGCUAGAGUUGACUGAAAUUGGGGAAAGUGAAUGAAAGAGAAAAACAAAAGAGGAACAUAUGGGGGAAAAGGGAAUAAAAAUGAGGGAAGCAUUGCCACG